AUCUGGCACUGUGUCUGGCAUGCGGCGGGUGCUUACAUCUCUCUCCAGAACCUCUUCUUGGGGACCCCUCUCUGAAGCCUCUUCUUGGGAGCAGCUUUCUGGAGGAAAACGGGCAGCAUAGUUGUGCUGUUGCUGAUGGAUGGAGAUGUGGAAAUGCUUCAUGCAGGGAUCCAGGGGGUCUGCUCGCACCGUGAUGGUGACCGGCUUCCGAAUACCCAGAGACUGCCUCUUCUCUACUGUCACAACAUCAAUUUCUUCAUUCUCUGUCCGAGAAAAGAGAUCAAGAGAAGAAACACAUCCCAUGAGAAACACAAACAUAGACCCUACAGCUUUAGCUGUCUACGCUGGUGCUUGGGAAGGUCGCCUGCCCCACCUCCUUCCCUGGACUAGAAGGUUAGAUUUGUAAUCAUAGGUCGGCGAAGCUGCAGGAACUUCACAAAGGUACAAGCGACCAUUUCCAAACUACCUGCACCAGAGGCAGAGACUGGGCAGCAGAAUGUCCCAGAUAUGGGGCUCAUAACACCAGAGACCUGGAGACACCUGGACACGCCCUUCUCAUUCACUGGCUUGAAGGUCUCUUAGGUUAACCUAACCAGGAGAGGGGCAAUUGGGAGAAAAGUCUCCUCCUGCUCCACACAUUUUGCAGCCUCCACACAGAAGUCCACCUUAAUGGAUCUCGGCCUCGCAAAGGAAGAGCUCCGUUCUCAGCUUCUUUGCAUAUCAGGAAGCUUGAGCCCCUUUGUCAGGAAGGCUUCCAUUGUGUGGACAAUCGCAUUAUUUCUCCAUUAAUAAACCUGACCAUUCAGCCCUCCUGGCCCCAAA
rnacentral:lncRNA from 1 species